CAAUAGCGUAUAUUAAAGUUGUUGCGGUUAAAAAGCUCGUAGUUGGAGUUCUGCCAGGUGCCGCCUGUCGCCCCAGUGGUGAGUACGUGGCGCGCAUUUGGCCCUUUCAAGGGGAGCGUAUCUGCACUUUAUUGUGUGGUGCGGGAUCCUUGACUUUUACUUUGAGGAAAUAGGAGUGUUCCAAGCAGGCUCUCGUCGUGCACAGCUCAGCAUGGAAUAAUAGCAUUGGACCUCGAUUCUAAGCUGUUGGUUGCCAGAAGCGAGGUAAUGAUGAAGAGGGAUAGUUGGGGGCAUUCGUAUUUAACUGUCAUAGGUGAAAUUCUUGGAUUUGUUAAAGGCGGACUACUGCGAAAGCAUCUGCCAGGGAUGUUUUCAUUGA
rnacentral:rRNA from 1 species